UACGUAGGGGGCAAGCGUUGUCCGGAUUUAUUGGGCGUAAAGAGCGUGUAGGCGGCCAGGUAGGUCAGCUGUGAAAACUCGAGGCUCAACCUCGAGACGCCGGUUGAAACCAUCUGGCUAGAGUCCGGAAGAGGAGAGUGGAAUUCCUGGUGUAGCGGUGAAAUGCGCAGAUAUCAGGAAGAACACCCGUGGCUAAGGCGGCUCUCUAGUACGGUACUGACGCUGAGGCACGAAAGCGUGGGGAGCAAACAGG
rnacentral:rRNA from 1 species